AGACCAAUUGGGAACACAAACACAUCACCCUUGUUGAGCACCUUGGUAAAGAGACGAUUGUUGUCUUGAUUUGAUGUGACAAAUCCAACAUAAAGAGUGCCUUCAAGUACUAUAAGGAUCUCUGUUCCUCUAGGGUGGAUGUGAGGUGGGUUUAAACCCUUAGGCGCAAAAUCAACGCGAGCCAAAGAUAUCCCAAGUGUGUUAAGUCCGAAUAGUUGGUCUACAGUGACAGGAGUCACUUGAGAGCCUAGUGCGUUAGAUGCAUUCCCAGCUUCAACAUGUUUGAAGAAAUCUUCAGCUUUAACAAGUGCGGGGUCUUUACAGAAUUUUCCAUUCACAAAUACUGCAAAUUAUCAAAUCAUAGUUUUGUUAUAUCAAAGAAAUUAUAGUAUAUUUUCAAGUAAUGACCUAGCUAAACCAGGAAACAACCAAGAACCAAAACAAAAGAAUCUAUAUUUACAAGGACUAAAACCAUAAAAAUAUAUUUACAGAGACUAAAACGAAAACGUAUGAUAUUUGUAAGGAGCAUCUUAUAUUAAGACUUAAAGUUAAGGAAUAUAUACAUACCACCAUCUUUGGGGUCUUUGAUUGCAACACAAAAGUCUUGGAGAGGGCUGGGAUCAUAAGCAAAGGCAAGAGAGGAUGCCAAAGCCAAGAUGCUAACAAGGAAGUAUAUAAUCUUCAUUUUUGUAACUCAGUACUACUCUUUAAUAUUCUUCUUAUGUAAAUAACUUGUGAGAGAAUUGAGUUUUGUUGCAUGUAUUGCUUGCUAUUUAUAACAAUGAAACAUUGAAGUGGUUUGCAUUUGAUAUUUACCGUCAUUAGUUUUUUUUUUUUUUUUUUUCAUAUUAAAUAAUGAACCAUUCUUUAACAACUACAUGUAUACUUGAUCUCCAAACCAAAGUCAAGACCAUUUUUAAUUGCAUGGCCGUGUCCACUUGACAUUGAAUUUACAACCUAUUCUCGUAAUGGUAAUUUUAUAAUGAAAAUAUUUUGGGCAAAAUGAAAUUAAGAUAAGUUUAGACCAACACUGUGUGUGGCAUAAAUGGUAUAUUCUUUGGUGUUUAUCCAUUUUGUCUAGGUUUGAUCUUCGGCUGGUUUCUAUGGCAAAUUAUAUGUUAAAAGAAGCCAAUCUCCUAAAUGCAUUUCAGUUAUUUAAGAUGAUUUAUCUCUCCUUUGUGCUUAGUGAUAUAUUUCUGUUUUUUUUCUUCCAGAAUUCGAACUCAAAACCUUAUAUAUAUUAUGUAUUAUUCUUAUGAGUUAAGUUUACGAGGACAUAUAUUCUUUUGUUUAAAAAUAAAAAGGAUAAAUUUUGACUUUUUCUCAAUGCUAGAGACUUAAUUAUAAAUAUUAGUUGGUGGACUUUGGAAAAUAUUUGAGUAAUUGGCACAAUCGUACCAUUACUAAUAUUUUCACACGGCAAAAUUCAAAGACCAUUUCUGAUUUACCUUUUCAACAAAUAAUUAACUUCUGAUUUUAAUUCAAAUUAAGAUAAAGUUUAGGAACUGUUCUCCUUGUAAUUGUUAUUUUAUAUUGGAAAAGCUCUAAGCUAAAUCAAAAUAAGAUCAGUUUAGACUUUGUCUUAGUUCUAGAGACUUAAUUAUAAUUGCACUCUCUUUUGUAUACUUAGAUUUUAUAUUAUGUUUGGAUUGAUCGAAUGUAAUGAAGUGAGAUGGAAUGGAAUGGUAAAUAAUUAUCUUUUAUUGUUUAGAUUUUAUCUUUUGCAUCUUCCAUCAAUACUCAUGUUACAAUUCUUAAUUUUCAGCACAAUACCCCAUCAAUUCCUCUUGCUUGCUCAGUCUUGUUUCUUGCGUUCUAUUUUUUUCGUGUGCUUUUUCAAUAUUAAAAAGGGAUCCUAUCACAUUUUCUUGCACUGGUUUUUCUGUAUUAGUUGCAAUUCUUUUUAAGGAAAUAAUAUUUUAGUCGUAAUAUAUUUGACAUGAUAAUAGUGUUUUAAAAAAGUAGAGUGGAAUUAAAAAGUUAUAACUCUUUUUGUUCCACCCACUUUUCAAACAAUGUAGUGGAAACAUUUCAUAAAAUAUCAAAAAAUGGAAUAAAAUUAUUGUGAAUUCGAGCUCAAAAUCACUCCAAUAAAUUUAGAUGUGUGGAGUAAAGGUAAGUAGUAACCAAUAUCAAAAUAACCUCGAGCAACGACAACAAUAACAAACCUAAAUCUAAUAUGACAGUCAAGUGAAAAAGCACGAAACCGCAAGCAAAAUAAAGGAGAGAAUAGAAACAAACACAAAAAAAAAAUCCAAUUCGGUCCAUGGAGCAUUGUUUUUUUUUGGGAAUGAAUGACAAAUUUUGCGAUGAUUGCCCUCAGCCUCAGUUAAUUACUUGUUGACUGGGUAAUUCGGAAAUGGUCAUUCUAUUUCGCCUUGUAUUAGUGAUGGCAUGUUUGUGACCAAAUUACUCAAGAAAUUGCCACAUUAAACUUUAAAUCCUAAUCACACGCAAUCAUCAAAAGGUAAGUUUGCAAAAGAGAGUGCAGUUAUAAUUGAGUCUCCAGAACUAAGACAAAGUCUAAACUGAUCUUAUGUUGAUUUAGCCCACAACAGAUACAAAGUACUAAACUGAUCUUAAUUUGAAUUAAAAUCAUCUCUUUUGUUAAUUAUUUGUUGAAAGGGUAAAUCAGAGAUGGUGUUUCAAUUUAUUAUAUGUGACAUAUAAUAAAGAUCACAUACAUCAUUAAUUGAAUGUAUCUAAAAAGUGAAUUUUUACUUAUAUUAGUGACCGGAGGGUGUAUUUUAGUAAUGGUAUGACUCUGCCAAUUACUCGAAUAUUUUCCAUAUUCCACCAACUAUUGUUAUAAUUAAGUCUCAAGAACUAAGAAAAAGUCUAAUUUAUCUUAGCUUUUUUUUAACAAAUGUAUUCCGUGAGAAAGUCAGAGAUUAAUCAUCCAAGAUAAUUGAAAUUCAUUUAAGAGAUUGACCUCUCUUAACGUAUAUUUUGCCAUAUGCAUCGGCCGAAGAUCGAACCCUAAACAAAUUGGUUAAAUGUUCGAAAUAUAUACCACUUGUGUCAUAUUAUGUUGGUCUAAACUUAACUUCAUUUCAUUUAGCCCAAAAUAGUAACAUUAAAAAAUUACCAUUAAGAGAACAGGUAAGGACAAGUUUAAAAAUGGUCUUGACUUUGGUUUGGAGAUCAAGCAAACAUGUAGUUGUUAAAGAAUGGUUCAUUAUUUAAUAAAAAACUAAUGACAGUAAAUAUCAAAUGCAAAAAUACAUCAAUGUUUCAUUCUUAUAAAUAGCAAGCAAUAUAUGCAACAAAACUCAAUUCUCAAAAGUUAUUUACAUAAGAAGAAUAUUAAAGGGUAGUACUGAGUUGCAAAAUGAAGAUUUUAUACCUCCUAGUUAGCAUCUUGGCUUUGGCAUCCUCUAUUGCCUUUGCUUAUGACCCCAGCCCUCUCCAAGACUUUUGUGUUGCAAUCAAAGACCCCAAAGAUGGUGGUAUGUAUAUUAUAUACUCCUUAACUUUAAGUCUUAAUAUAAGACGCUCCUUACAAAUGUCAUACGUUUUCGUUUUAGUCUCUAUAAAUAUAUUUUUAUGGUUUCAGUCCUUGUAUAUAUAGAAUCUUUUGUUUUGGUCCUUAGUGAUUUUUGGUUUAGCAAGGUCAUGACCGGAAGAAUUAUACUACUAAAAUUUCUUUGAUAUAACAAAACUAUUAUUUGAUAAUUUGCAGUAUUUGUGAAUGGGAAAUUCUGUAAAGACCCUGCGCUUGUUAAAGCUAAAGAUUUUUUCAAACAUGUUGAAGCUGGGAAUGCCUCUAAUGCCUUGGGCUCUCAAGUGACUCCAGUCACCGUAGACCAACUAUUCGGACUUAACACACUUGGUAUAUCUUUGGCUCGCGUUGAUUUUGCCCCUAAGGGUUUAAACCCACCUCACAUCCACCCUAGAGGAACAGAGAUCCUUAUAGUACUCGAAGGCACUCUUUAUGUUGGAUUUGUCACGUCCAAUCAAGACAACAAUCGUCUCUUCACCAAAGUGCUCAACAAGGGUGAUGUGUUUGUGUUCCCGAUUGGUCUUAUUCAUUUUCAGCUGAAUGUGGGAUAUGGCAACGCUGUUGCUAUUGCUGGACUUAGCAGUCAAAACCCAGGAGUUAUCACUGUAGCAAAUGCUUUGUUUAAAUCGAAUCCGCUUAUUUCCGACGAAGUUCUUACCAAAGCAUUUCAAGUGGAUAAGAGCAUAAUUGAUUAUCUUCAAAAGCAGUCUUGGUACGACAACAACUAGUUGGAGAACAUGAAUAUAAUAGUCCAUGGUUUACUCUGAAUGGAUAAUUGACUUUCGUUCUUCAAUCACCUUGUGUAAUCAACCAUCUCUACUUAUAUUAUUGUAAUAAAUAAAAUACAUGUUUGUUUGACUACAUAGUUGUUUUGUUAUGAUUUUAAUUUUGUUGAAUAAUGGAUUGUUGUUGUGAUUUCUCUAAAAUGAUAAUUUUCUAUAUCCCAUCCAUUAGCAUGUUAAUUAGAAUUAUUCAUGGGUGCUUUCUAGUUAUGUUUUUAUCUUCAUUGACACUAUUAUAUCAGUUUACAUUACUAAGUCUUUAUGAUUCUCUGCAUAACAAUACAACAAAACAAAACAUAUGAGAAUUAGCAAGAGUAGCAUUUAUGCAGUCAUAAUGUGAUCAAUAAUACUAUCAUUAAAAAUAAUUUAAUAUAUCUUUUUAAAUGUUUUGUCUUCAUUGACACCUUUGGCAUCCAAUAAGCUAAGUUGAUUUGUUGAAGAUAGAAGCCUAACUCACUUUCAAUCAGUUAUCACUACAUUAUUUUGUCUCUCUAUGAUUCACUGCAUAAUAAUGCAACAAAACACAAGAUAUAGCAAGAGUACUGUUCAUGCAGCCAGAAUGUGUUCAACUUCAAUACAGUUAUAACACGUUAAAGUUACCAAACAGGUCGUAUGUAGGGGAUACUUAUGAAUAAAUAUCCAUAAGUGACAUUAUGGGUGUCAACAUUUGAAAAUCAAGCAAAACAUAAAUAUGAAUGUUCUGUCACAAUCCAAUAGAAUUUAAAGAUCAAGAAAUUUGGUGGAAGUCAAAGGUCUCACAGAAGAACAAAUAAUAGUCAAACCUUAAUGAAAAUUAUUUACCCCCUAAAAUAUUAGCGAUUUCCGGUUUACCCCUGUAAAAAAAAUUGUUUUGAUUUCAACACUUUAAUUUGAAGAUUUUUGGUUUUGAACCUUCAUGAAUUUUGACUCUACAAAAUCGAUGAUAUGGUAGAGGGUAAAUCGAAAUAUCGAUGAUAUUGCAGGGGGUAAACCGAAAUUCCUUCAAAUUACAAGGGGCAAGAGUACCUUAAAUUUUUUAAUUUGAUGCCAUGAAGGUUCAAAAUCAAAAAAUCUUCAAAUUACAGGAUUGGAAUCUAAACAAUUUUUUUACAGGAAGGUAAACCGAAAAUCACUAAUAUUAGAGGGGGUUAAACAUAUAUUAACCCUUAUUAAUACUAUCAUUCUGAAUAAUUUCAUAUAUCAUUUCAAACUUUAAAUUUCCGUCUUCAUUGGCACCUUUGGCAUUCAUAAAGCUAGUUGAUUUUUUUGUAUUCAUUUCAUUUGCAAUUAAUUCAGCAUUGACAACUUUUUUUUUUGAACAAGUUCAGCAUUGACAAUUGUAUUUGAAAAACCAGUUCAUAUAUGCUCACUACUUGAAAUUCUUCAAUUUGCUAAGGAUUUUGAUGUCAAUUCUGCAGCAAACACAUUUCCUGCGAAUUUUGAUAAGGAUUAAGGUUUCCGCUAAUACCUUUGUGGGUAAUUGUUUCCUGAGGAUUUUAGGAACCGCAGAAAAAUUACAGGCGGAAAUUUCCUUUGAAAAACUGAAUAAAAUCUGCAGGAAAUUUCCGCCCAUGAUAUGUAUCCUGCAUACAUUCCGCAGGAAAAAACCGUGGAAACUCUGCUUAAAAAUAAUAUUUGUAGAUAAAACCGCAGGAAAAAUCUUUAAGGAAACAAAUAUCCGUUGGUAAAUCCGCAGCUAUUGCAUUUUGAUAUAUUUUUUUUUAAUAGGAAGAUGAUGAAUGCAUUUUGAAAAUUUUUCAUGUAUUUAUCAAAUCUUUUACCGCUUUUGUAUGUGUGUGUGGGAUACUCGUUCACUAUCCCGGAAGGUCCUAUUGCGGAUAAGUUGGUGGAAUUAGAAGAGGUUUAUGGUUUGACAAAUGAUAAAAGGGAGACGGUAGAGGUUACUCAAUGAUUGUGUCCUCUUUUAAUAUGAGAGGUUUGGGUGGGCGGUUGGAGAAAAAGAAGAUUAAGGCGUUAAUUUGCGAUAGUAGGUGGACUUUAUGGUCAUCCAAGAAACAAAAUUGGAACUUCUUACGAAUCAUUUAUAUUGUAGCCUUUGGGGGAGUGAUGAUUAUCCAUGGGCGUUCGAAUCCCUUUGUAGAGAAAUAGUGGAGGUAUCUUGUCCUUGCGGAGUAAGUCAAACUCUAACCUUCUUUUCUCUUUUACAGGAAAAGGUUUUGUUGGGGUGUGUUUGGAGUGGGGAGUGUUGAAGAAUAGGACCUUUGUUGUUAAUUAUGUCUAUUCUAAAUGUGACUUAAUGGAAAAGAGGACGUUAUGACAUUCUUUGUUGGAGGUGAAGAGGGGUUUGGGUGAGGGUGCUUGGUGCAUAUUAUAGGUGAUUUUAAUGCAGUGUGUUGUUCGGAAGAAAGAAAGGUGUUGAAAAUGCCAGCAAAAGUUCAAAAGAGGAUAACUGAAAUACAAAGGUGUUGAACAAGUGACUUCAAACAUACAAGAGGCAAGUGAAUUAUGAUCUUUAAAAAAUGGUUCAAGAAAGCACUUAAAAAAUAUUUUAACUAAAAGAAAUAAAAUGCUUGAAAAAGUUUUUAAUAAAGAUGAAAACUAAAGAUAUUGUGCUAAAAUAAAUAACAAAUCACUACCAAAAAAAAAAAUAAAGUAAAAGAGAUAAAGAGAUGAGAGAAAAGACACAUGGUUAAUUAGAUUGCUGAAGAGAUUAAGGUUUGAUUGUUAUUUGUUCUUUCGUGUAACCUUUAACUUCCACCAAUUUUCUUCAUGUUUAAAUUCUAUUGGAUUGUGGCAGAACAUUGGUCUUUAUGUUUUGCUUGAUUUUCAGAUUUUUUCAGUUGUUUUCGGCUUCCAAUUUAAGAUUUUCUAUAUCGGACUUCAGAAAAGUUUAAAAUUAAAGCAUUGUCAUUUGUCUUAGGGCUUUGAAAAUGUCAUUCCAAAAGUAGCUUAAUUUCAACAUAAUGUCACUUAUGGAUGUGGGUUAGUUAUUCAUAGUCCCUUGAUCUGUUUGGUAACUUUAACGUGUUAUAACUGUAUUGAAGUUGAACACGUUCUGGCUGCAUAAAUAGAACGCUUGCUAUAUCUUGUGUUUUGUUGCAUUGUUAUGCAGAGAAUCAUAGAUAGACAAAAUAAUGUAGUUAUAACUUAUAGUAUGUGAUUCAGGCUUCUAUCUUCGACAAAUCAACUUUGCUUUAUGGAUGCCAGAGGUGUCAAUGAAGACAAAACAUUUAAACUGAUAUAUUAAAUUAUUUUAAAUGAUAGUAUUGUUGAUCACAUUCUGACUGCAUAAAUCCUACUCUUGCUAAUUCUCAUAUGUUUUGUUGUAUUUUGUUAUGAAGAAAAUCACAAUGAAUAAUUCUAAUUAACAUGAUAAUGAAUGGGAUAUAGAAAUCACAACAACAAUCCUUAUUAAACCAAAUUAAACCCAAAACAAAACAACUAUGUAUUCAAAUAAAUCACAUGCAUUUUAUUUUAUACAAUAAUAAUAAGUAGAUAGGUUGAUUGCACAAGGUGAUUGAAGGACUAAAGUCAACUAAUCAUGUUCUCAAACUAGUUGUUGUCAUACCAAGACUGCUUUUGAAGAUAAUCAAUUAUGCUCUUAUCCACUUGAAAAGCUUUGGUAAGAACUUCGUCGGAAAUAAGAGGAUCUGAUUUAAACAAAGCAUUUGCAACAGUGAUAACUCCUGGAUUUUGACUGCUAAGUCCAGCAAUAGCAACGGCGUUGCCAUAUCCCACAUUCAGUUGAAAAUGAAUAAGACCAAUUGGGAACACAAACACAUCACCCUUGUUGAGCACCUUGGUAAAGAGACGAUUGUUGUCUUGAUUUGAAGUGACAAAUCCAACAUAAAGAGUGCCUUCAAGUACUAUAAGGAUCUCUGUUCCUCUAGGGUGGAUGUGAGGUGGGUUUAAACCCUUAGGCGCAAAAUCAACACGAGCCAAAGAUAUACCAAGAGUGUUAAGUCCGAAUAGUUGGUCUACAGUGACUGGAGUCACCUGAGAGCCUAGUGCGUUAGAGGCAUUCCCAGCUUCAACAUGUUCGAAGAAAUCUU
rnacentral:lncRNA from 1 species